rnacentral:rRNA from 1 species
AUGCCGACCGGCUUGGCCACCCCCUUCCCCUACCCCAAACCCCCGCAAUCCCCUCGCCUCCUCCACCGCAGCCGCCGCUGCUCCGGCCACCGCCUCCUCCUCGCCACCUCCUCCCCCUUCCGCCCAGACCCCACACCCCUCGCCUGCCCCAGGCGCAAGCGCAGCUCCGUCGCCGCCAUCCAUGCCUCCUCCGACCCCGCCCUCUAUUCCUUCNNNNNCUCCCCGACCCCGCCUCCGCGCCCGCGCCCGUCCCCUCUGGAGCCCCCCUCCACCGUAGCCCGCGCCGGCCGCAGCAAGAAGAAGCCCGGCGGCGGCCGCAUCGAGGGCGGCGGCGACGUGCGGCGCGAGGCCAAGUCCCGGGCCAAGCGCCGCAGCCGCCGCCUCUCGGAGAACGCCUUCUACCGCCGGAAGCGCCGCGCCGCCUCGGGCCAGGCCGACACCUUCACCGACGAGGAGCUCGAGAUGAUCGGCCUCGGCUACGACCGCUCCGUCCGCUUCAUGGACGGGCCCGACGACCCGCGCCUCCGCCACCCGCACGACUGGUACAGGUUCGGCGCCUUCGGGCCCUACUCCUGGCGCGGUAUCGUCGUGGGGCCGCCCAUCCGCGGCCGCUUCUCCGACGACCGCGUCUCCCUCAUGUCCGAGGUGGCCGACCACGACGAAUGGGACCGCAACGAGCAGUUCGAGAUGUCCAACCAAUUUUCACACCGUCUCAACGAGCUCGAUGAUGCCGUCGGCUUCCGGUACUACUGGGUCUUCGUGCGGCACCCUAGGUGGCGCCCCGACGAGCCACCAUGGCAGCAGUGGACGCUCUCGGCCGAGGUCGCCGUCCAGGCCAGCAAGGACCAGCGGCUGGAUAAGUGGAGCCUCAUGGGCCGGUUUGGUAACUCGACACGCGAGCUGAUCACGCGCUGCGCGGCCUGGACGCGCCCGGACAUCCUAUAUGUCAAGCGUCCGCUGUACCAGUCGAGGUUCGAGCCACAGGAGGAAUUCUUCAGUCGGCUCCGCCCGUUGGUUGAUCCCUCAACCGAGAACCAGUUCUUGUUUGACCUUGAACAGGAUGGCAGGGUCAUUCAGACGACCUACUUCGGGGGCCUUUGCAGGAUUGUGAAGGCAAGCCCAAAGUCUUAUGUGGAUGAUGUUGUAAAUGCAUACUCGAAGCUGAGUGAGGCGGAUAAGUCAUGCUGUCUGGAGUUCUUGCUCACAAACCAUCCCAUGGAGCUGCUCCACCCAUACACCAAGGAGUGGAAAGUCAAGCUAGAGGAGAUGGAACUUGGGUGUGAUGCGCCUGAUGAGAGUGACGAUGAGGGUGGUGAUGAGAUUGGAAGUGAGAUCAUUGAUUGGGUUGAGGAUGAGGAGGUUGAUGUGAUUGAUGAUACCGAGGAUGAUGUAGACAACGACUAUGAGGAUGAGGAAGUGGUUGAUGUCAGUGAAGAGGUGGAAGCAGAUGAAGUAAUAGAAAGUAGUGAGGAGAAUGAGGACUACUGGGACGAGCAAUGGGAUAAAGCGAUGAAAAGUAAUGAUAAAAUGGAGAAACUGGUCAAGAACAGGGUUGAGAAAUCAUAUGAGUAUAAUAAGCGGCAAAUGCAACAGCAGAAAGAUAUGGAAUCGCAAAUGGGCACUUCCAAUACAAUGAUUAUGCAGCAGGAGCAGGCCGAGGAGGAUGAGGUGAAGCUGGUACAGCAGGAAAGUGCAAGGAGCAGAAGUGCGCUGGUCAGAGUGAAGCGCGAGCCCCCUCCAGGGCUCUUCCUGAGGGCGGCUGUCCGGCCAUUCACUUACAGGAAUCUUGUCAAGGAAAUUGUUCUGAUGAGACACCAAAUUAUUGAUGGAGAGAUAGUUUAG